CAGCCGCCGCGGUAAUACGAAGGGUGCAAGCGUUAAUCGGAAUUACUGGGCGUAAAGCGUGCGUAGGCGGUUUGUUAAGUCUGCUGUGAAAUCCCCGGGCUCAACCUGGGAAUGGCAGUGGAUACUGGCAAGCUAGAGUGUGUCAGAGGAUGGUGGAAUUCCCGGUGUAGCGGUGAAAUGCGUAGAGAUCGGGAGGAACAUCAGUGGCGAAGGCGGCCAUCUGGGACAACACUGACGCUGAGGCACAAAAGCGUGGGGAGCAAACAGGAUUAGAUACCCCUGUAGUCCCUGUCUCUUAUAC
rnacentral:rRNA from 1 species